UACAGAGGUCUCAAGCGUUGUUCGGAUUCAUUGGGCGUAAAGGGUGCGUAGGCGGCGCGGUAAGUCGGGUGUGAAAUCUUGGAGCUUAACUCCGAAACUGCAUUCGAUACUGCCGUGCUUGAGGACUGGAGAGGAGACUGGAAUUUACGGUGUAGCGGUGAAAUGCGUAGAUAUUCGGAGGAACACCAGUGGCGAAGGCGGCUCACUGGUCCGGUACUGACGCUGAGGUGCGAAAGCGUGGGGAGCAAACAGG
rnacentral:rRNA from 1 species